UUUCGGGUAGCAAUAUUCGGAGUGUUGAGCGGCGCAAGGGUGCGUAACACGUGGGCAACCUGCCUUGAAGCGGGGGAUAACUCCGAGAAAUCGGAGCUAAUACCGCAUGUGAAUUUUGGGAGGCCUCUUUCGAAAUUCAAAGCUGGGGAUCGUAAGACCUGGCACUUCAAGAUGGGCCCGCGGCCUAUCAGCUAGUUGGUGAGGUAACGGCUCACCAAGGCUAAGACGGGUAGCUGGUCUGAGAGGACGACCAGCCACACUGGAACUGAGACACGGUCCAGACACCUACGGGUGGCAGCAGUCGAGAAUUUUUCACAAUGGGGGAAACCCUGAUGGAGCGACGCCGCGUGGGGGAUGAAGGGCUUCGGCUCGUAAACCCCUGUCAGCCGCGAACAAUGCUUACGACCUAACACGUCGUGAGUUGAUUGUAGUGGCAGAGGAAGGGACGGCUAACUCUGUGCCAGCAGCCGCGGUAAUACAGAGGUCCCGAGCGUUGUUCGGAUUUACUGGGCGUAAAGGGUGCGUAGGUGGUCGGGUAAGUCUCAUGUGAAAUCCCGCAGCUUAACUGCGGAACGGCAUGGGAUACUAUUCGGCUCGAGGAUUGGAGGGGGGACUGGAAUUCCCGGUGUAGCAGUGAAAUGCGUAGAUAUCGGGAGGAACACCAGUGGCGAAGGCGAGUCCCUGGACAAUUCCUGACGCUGAGGCACGAAAGCCAGGGGAGCAAACAGGAUUAGAUACCCUGGUAGUCCUGGCUGUAAACGGUGCUCACUUGCUGUAGACGGAAUCGACCCCGUCUGUGGCG
rnacentral:rRNA from 1 species